rnacentral:rRNA from 1 species
UACGGGGGGGGGGCAAGCGUUGUUCGGAAUUACUGGGCGUAAAGGGCUCGUAGGCGGCCAACUAAGUCCGACGUGAAAUCCCCAGGCUUAACCUGGGAACUGCGUCGGAUACUGGAUGGCUUGAAUUCGGGAGAGGGAUGCAGAAUUCCAGGUGUAGCGGUGAAAAUGCGUAGAUAUCUGGAGGAAUACCGGUGGCGAAGGCGGCAUCCUGGACCGACAUUGACGCUGAUGAGCGAAAGCUAGGGGAGCAAACGGGG